AUGAACUCUUACCUCAUCACUCUGUCGAGGAAGGAUGUGUCUGUCUAAAUAUUCUCCAACCAUAUUGAAACUCUGUACUCCUAUAUUAGAAUGCUUAUGGGUCUGAAAAUUUUUGUAAUUUCCAAAAAUAGAUGAUACAUCUGCUCUUUAGUGAUUUCGUAACAGACAAUGCAGCAUCAUCGGCUCUGUUUCCUUUACACGGAAGUCUAUCAAAACUUAACUUCGGAGUGGCACCGUCUCCUGAGAGAAGACUGAUGGGAUCUAUGCUUCCUCCAGAAGAGUUAUCGUUUGUCGUGGUCUGAUGAGGUCGUGAGCUGUUAUCAGUUCCUAACUGCGGACGAUGGAGGGUUGUUUUGCCUGGCCGGGAAUGGAUACACUUUUUGUUAGAGUUGUCGGCAAGAACAGCUCGGGAUGGCGGCGAUGAUGUAAUACGGGGACCAUGAAGUGACUUGGUGUUUAUAUCGACCCUCGUCUGUUCAUACAUGAUUCAUUGUUCAAUACAUGUGCACUGCAUUAUACUACCAUAGAAAAAUGAAAACAAAUACUAAAGGAUUUAUUACACCAAGCUAUUAACUGAGAAGAUUGAAAGACCCUGAAUCAAUUGAAUUUGACAGCUCACUUUACACAGAAUAAAAAUCUUUAUUGUUUCUAAGAUAUUUUUGAUUUCAGAAAUAAAGUCUGCGUUUGCUUCAUGCUUGGCAGUUACGUAAUUUUUGUAAAAAUCGUUUUUCAUCUCACUCCUUC